rnacentral:rRNA from 1 species
UGGGGAAUAUUGGACAAUGGGCGAAAGCCUGAUCCAGCCAUGCCGCGUGUGUGAAGAAGGCCUUAUGGUUGUAAAGCACUUUAAGUGGGGAGGAAAAGCUUAUGGAUAAUACCCAUAGGUUCUGACGUUACCCACGGAAUAAGCACCGGCUAACUCUGUGCCAGCAGCCGCGGUAAUACAGAGGGUGCGAGCGUUAAUCGGAAUUACUGGGCGUAAAGCGAGCGUAGGUGGUUUAUUAAGUCAGAUGUGAAAUCCCUGGGCUUAACCUAGGAACUGCAUCUGAUACUGAUAAACUAGAGUAGGUGAGAGGAAAGUAGAAUUCCAGGUGUAGCGGUGAAAUGCGUAGAUAUCUGGAGGAAUACCGAUGGCGAAGGCAGCUUUCUGGCAUCAUACUGACACUGAGGUUCGAAAGCGUGGGUAGCAAACAGGAUUAGAUACCCUGGUAGUCCACGCCGUAAACGAUGUCUACCAGUCGUUGGGUCUUUUAAAGACUUAGUGACGCAGUUAACGCAAUAAGUAGACCGCCUGGGGAGUACGGCCGCAAGGUUA